rnacentral:tRNA from 1 species
GAUCCUAUGGCUCAAUUGGCAGAGCAUGGCACUAGAGAUGCCAAGAUUGUGGGUUUGAUUCCCAGGGAACA